rnacentral:misc_RNA from 1 species
GAUGAAGAACGCAGCGAAAUGCGAUACUUGGUGUGAAUUGCAGAAUCCCGUGAACCAUCGAGUCUUUGAACGCAAGUUGCGCCCGAAGCCAUUAGGCCGAGGGCACGCCUGCCUGGGCGUCACACGUCGUUGCCCCCCCAUCUACUCCUUCGGGAUUGCGGGGGGCGGAUGAUGGCCUCCCGUGCGCCUCGUCGCGCGGUUGGCAUAAAUGCCAAGUCCUCGGCGACGCACGCCACGACAAUCGGUGGUUGCGAAACCUCGGUUGCCCGUCGUGUGCGGUCGUCGCGCAUCGAGGGCUCGAAAAAAUUGCCGGGCUCCGGCUCGGCUUUCAACGCGACCCCAGGUCAGGCGGGGUUACCCGCUGAAUUUAAGCAUAUCAAUAAGCUGAGGA